GAAAAUGAAGAGGGAAAAUCUAGUAGCAAUUGUAUCCUGUAUCUGCUGAGCAGGAAUAUCCAUCUGGUUCAGUUCCAAGCCUGGAGAAAGGCACUGGAAAUAAAAUGGAGGCUGGAGGCUGAUUGGAAAGAAGAUCCAUUUAUUGAUGAAACAGAACCACCAACCACAUGAGAUU